UAUGAACCAGGAUUAGAUACCCUGUUACUUUUAGUAAAAAAUUUUGGAGUAGUAGAUUUAAUGAAAUUUAACGGACUUGGCGGCAAGAUAACUUUUUAGAGGAACCUGCCCUAUAAACGAUGAACCACGAGGGCCUUACUUUUUUUAGUAUUCAGUUUGUAUACCGUUGUUGUUAGUUAGAUUCUUAAGAAUAUUUUCUAUUAUGAGAAAAUCAUUGACUUCAAGUAAAGGUGCAGCAUAUAAAAAAGAUAGAGGUGGGUUACAUUUUUAAGAUUAAAGCGCAUAAGAUUUUUUAAAUAUUCUUUGAAGAUGGAUUUAACUGUAAAACUUAAGAAAGUUUGAUUAUAGCUCUAUUUUGUGUACACACCGCCCGUCGCUCUCCUUAGAAAA
rnacentral:rRNA from 1 species